CUGAAAAUCCAGAAUGUGUCUGUUUUGUUCCAGUCUCCUGACUUAUGUCAGGGUCCGUUGAUUCCAUGACUACCCCAAGUCACCUCACAAUCAUGCCUCCGAGGCCCCUUAGAAUCCUGGGGCACAGGUCCUCUGGAAACGGAGGGUAGGAUUCAUUCAAGUAGCCCGUUCUUUCUGGAAAUUCGUGUACCCUUUUAACCCAUGCUGGACUUUUUAAGUUUUGAAGAUCUGCAAAUUCUUUGACACUUCUACACUAAAAAGGUGGCGUUUACUUACCUUCCCCUUAAACACCGGCCGGACUCAGUGACUCGAUUCUGCUGAAUAGGGAGAUGUGCCUUUGGGGAGCCUGAGCUGCCCUGUAAGAAAUCCAGAUACCCUACAGUUGCCAUGAUGCAGAGGGCAAGUGGAGACACCAUCUGGAGGAGCCCCUGUGGUGCUGGCCACCAGCUGUGUGCACCCUAAUAGCUAAAGCAAGGGCUGUUUCACGCCAGCUUAAGAGCUAUGAAUUUGGAACUUCAGGACUCAAAGCCCUUCAGAGCUACCAAGAAUGUCAUUUCAUUCACUGCCUGGCUGUAGAGAAAGAGUGACGGGGACGGAGCGGGGCUGCCAAGUGCCUCUGGGAGCCGAUUAGUAGGGGACUGGAGUGCCCUGGCUCCCCGGAUACAAAUGGAACGUAGUUACAGGGCCAAGCCAUGUAGGCCUUUAACGGAGAUAGCAUAUCAGCUUUCCCAUGACCCAGAACACAUGGGGACUUGGAGAUGACACUAUGCUCCACCUUGGUCAAGCCUCUGAGAUUCUGAAGCAGGAACAGUUAGAUACAACAAAACUUAAAAGGACGGAAUCUCUUAUUAUCAGAGCUUUGAGUUUUGUUACAGGAGCUGUGUUCUUUGGCCUGACCAGAAGGAAAUUCACUCUCCUUUUCAGAUGGAUAAGGUGCAGGGGUCUUUGGGUACCCCAGGUGGAUGGAAACAACCCCCAGCCAAAGGCUGUCAGAAAAGAAGUUUAGGUAAUAUUGCCCAGCUCAAUAACCAGUCUGGAAGAGGGCAUCAAGCAGGCCACUCAGGUUUCAGUUGAAGACCUACCUAAAAUACUCUGAAUUGGUUCAGCACAAGUCUUUCUAGUCCCUUCUCAAAGGCAGGAAAUGAUGACAUUUGACACGGGGGUACCUAAAGACACAGGCAACAGGGGCCAAACCAAGAGUGGACCUUGACCCCAUCACCUGGGCUGAUGUCUUCACUGAAACCCUCCAGACUUCAUGGUAUGCCCAUCGCCAGAUUUGGUGUAGCCCAGAAUGAUCCCCUUUAGGGGAAAAGGAGGGAAGGAGAGGAGAAGGAAGAAAGGAAGAAACAUCUUUAUCAGUUAAAAAAUAAUCAGUUCGUUUUCCUGUAGCAACUUACUGAGAGCCUACCCCGUCAGUCACUGAAGAGCCAUCACAGUAUCUAUGUGUGAUGAUCAUUAUCUGUGAUGAUAACCCUGUGAGGUUCUGGUUACUUGGACUUCUGUGGUGGUUUCAGUUUGAUCUCUCCUGGAGUAACAGCUGGCCAUUACUUCAUACUGCUGCAACGAAAAAUUCUAAGGCGCGCUUUGUGGAAGAGAAAUAAAGGGGAUCUGGUCUUUGAAGAUGUGGAAUAUGGUAACUACCUUGCCAGUAAACCAUGCUAUCGCCGUGGAAGACUCUGAAGGAGGACAAGCCCUGAGUUUCCUGGUUAUGUGUGAUUCACACCAGAUAAUCAAAAGACUGAGAGAGAAUGUUCUUCUGGAUGGAUAGAAGAGUUUGAUUUGUCAAUGGAUCCCAAGGUACAACUUGAAGAAGAGAAAAAUUAUUUUCUCAAAAAUCUUAAAAAUCACAGAUUUCUGAUCUAAUUGGCAGCACUUCCUAGCUUUAAAGGUUGAAUUUAUCUGAGCAAAAUGACUUGGGGCAAUUUGUGUAAUUACUUCACAGUUAUCUGCAGACAGACUGUGGAAACCACAUCUCUGCAGAUAAAUGCGCAGAUUCAGGUCACUAGGACAUACUCCUGACACCUGACACGCUGCGUGAGAUUUUUCUUCCCUCUCCCUGCUUCUCCCUCCCUUUUAGUAAUCUAAUCCUUUUAGCAAGAAUGCUAUUUUGUCAUGAAAAUACAAGGAAAUGAGAACAUUUUCUUGGUCUUAAAAUCUCAAACCCUAUUUGCUGAUACCAUCAGAUAAAGCAUUCUACUCAGGCUAGGUCCAAGGCUAUGAUAAGAUUUAUUUUCACAAGAUGGUAACAGUAUCGUAUCCUUUGAGGCUAAUCUUUAGAACAUGAGUACAUUUUUGUUGUUGAGUUGUCCUUUUUCUUCUAUAGUACUGAAAUGUUACAUCUUAUUCUUAAUAAUUAUUUUUCAAUGAAUUCCUUAUAAUUUAAAGAGAAACUUUCCUCAUUGGGCUCAUGUAUUUUACCCACCCAAAAUUGCAAAUAGAAUUUGUACAAUUUCAUGAGCUCUGACACGAAAAAUGUCGUAGGCAAUUCUGUAUAACAACUCAACAGCAGACGCAGAAGUGAAGAGCCAGCUGACAUCCUUGAAACUUCCAUGUGCUUGGGUUUAUGUUUAAAGGGCCAUUCAACAUAACAGAGUACAUUUGAAUAGAAAGGAAGUAAUUUUGAAAUGCUUUAUUCCAUUUACUUAGGGAAUAAUAUAAAUAAUGUUAUAAGAUAAAUUUUGCUCUCUGGUAACCCAAACAUUUUAAACAUUCAUUAUCUAGUCUUUGCUCCAUUUAUUUGAAAUGCAGUGGCAUAUUCAGAAAAUCUGAAAGAAAAAGAUUAAUUGCAAUUAUUUUACCAAUGGUAUUAUGGGAAAUUAUACCAGUUUAUGAAUAAAGGAAGCUAGAUACUUAAAUGCCUCCCUCAGUGUAAGAUGUCAAUAUGUUAUACUUCAGGAUAUACUAAGUAUAUCCUGUGGUUUGGAAAUUUAGAUUAUCAUCAUAGUUUUUUAGUUAUCAAGAGAAAUUACUUUUUAGAAAAUCAACUUUAUUGAGGUGUUAUUUACAUACAAUAAAAUGCAUCUAUUUUAAGCGUCCAUUUAGAUGAAUUAUGACAAAUAUAUACAUCUGUGGAACCGCAG
ensembl:lncRNA